rnacentral:rRNA from 1 species
AUUGAACGCUGGCGGCAGGCUUAACACAUGCAAGUCGAACGAUGACUCUCUAGCUUGCUAGGGAUGAUUAGUGGCGGACGGGUGAGUAACAUUUAGGAAUCUGCCUAGUAGUGGGGGAUAGCUCGGGGAAACUCGAAUUAAUACCGCAUACGACCUACGGGUGAAAGGGGGCGCAAGCUCUUGCUAUUAGAUGAGCCUAAAUCAGAUUAGCUAGUUGGUGGGGUAAAGGCCCACCAAGGCGACGAUCUGUAACUGGUCUGAGAGGAUGAUCAGUCACACCGGAACUGAGACACGGUCCGGACUCCUACGGGAGGCAGCAGUGGGGAAUAUUGGACAAUGGGGGCAACCCUGAUCCAGCCAUGCCGCGUGUGUGAAGAAGGCCUUUUGGUUGUAAAGCACUUUAAGCAGGGAGGAGAGGCUAAUGGUUAAUACCCAUUAGAUUAGACGUUACCUGCAGAAUAAGCACCGGCUAACUCUGU